CAAGUCACACCAGGCCACUCUGGGCCUAUUUCUACCUGUCCAAGCCACUCUGGGCAUAUGUCAACCUGUCCAAGUCCCUCUGGGCCGCUUUCAGCCUAUUUCUACCUGUCCAAGUCACUCUGGGCCACUUUCAGCCUAUUUCUACCUGUCCAAGUCACACCAGGCCACUCUGGGCCUAUUUCUACCUGUCCAAGUCACUCUGAGGCCGCUUUGGGCCUAUUUCAACCUGUCCAAGUCACUCUGGGCUGCUUUCAGCCUAUUUCUACUUGUCCAAGCCACUCUGGGCCUAUUUCUACCUGUCCAAGUCACUCUGGGCCACUUUCAGCCUAUUUCUACCUGUCCAAGUCACACCAGGCCACUCUGGGCCUAUUUCUACCUGUC